rnacentral:rRNA from 1 species
GACGAACGCUGGCGGCGUGCUUAACACAUGCAAGUCGAACGCUGAAGCCUAGCUUGCUGGGUGGAUGAGUGGCGAACGGGUGAGUAACACGUGAGUAACCUGCCCUCUUCUUUGGGAUAACGCCCGGAAACGGGUGCUAAUACUGGAUAUUCACUGGCCUUCGCAUGGGGGUUGGUGGAAAGGUUUUUUCUGGUGGGGGAUGGGCUCGCGGCCUAUCAGCUUGUUGGUGGGGUGAUGGCCUACCAAGGCUUUGACGGGUAGCCGGCCUGAGAGGGUGACCGGUCACAUUGGGACUGAGAUACGGCCCAGACUCCUACGGGAGGCAGCAGUGGGGAAUAUUGCACAAUGGGCGAAAGCCUGAUGCAGCGACGCCGCGUGAGGGAUGGAGGCCUUCGGGUUGUAAACCUCUUUCGCUCAUGGUCAAGCCGCAACACUUGGUUGUGGUGAGGGUAGUGGGUAAAGAAGCGCCGGCUAACUACGUGCCAGCAGCCGCGGUAAUACGUAGGGCGCGAGCGUUGUCCGGAAUUAUUGGGCGUAAAGGGCUUGUAGGCGGUUGGUCGCGUCUGCCGUGAAAUCCUCUGGCUUAACUGGGGGCGUGCGGUGGGUACGGGCUGACUUGAGUGCGGUAGGGGAGACUGGAACUCCUGGUGUAGCGGUGGAAUGCGCAGAUAUCAGGAAGAACACCGGUGGCGAAGGCGGGUCUCCGGGCCGUUACUGACGCUGAGGAGCGAAAGCGUGGGGAGCGAACAGG